rnacentral:rRNA from 1 species
UACGUAGGGCGCAAGCGUUGUCCGGAAUUAUUGGGCGUAAAGAGCUCGUAGGCGGUCUGUCGCGUCUGUUGUGAAAACUCGAGGCUCAACCUCGGGCUUGCAGUGGAUACGGGCAGACUAGAGUGCGGUAGGGGAGACUGGAAUUCCUGGUGUAGCGGUGGAAUGCGCAGAUAUCAGGAGGAAUACCGAUGGCGAAGGCAGGUCUCUGGGCUGAUACUGACGCUCAUGCACGAAAGCGUGGGGAGCAAACAGG